UACGUAGGGGGCAAGCGUUGUCCGGAUUUAUUGGGCGUAAAGAGCGUGUAGGCGGCCAGACAGGUCCGUUGUGAAAACUCGAGGCUCAACCUCGAGACGCCGAUGGAAACCGUCUGGCUAGAGUCCGGAAGAGGAGAGUGGAAUUCCUGGUGUAGCGGUGAAAUGCGCAGAUAUCAGAAAGAACACCCGUGGCUAAGGCGGCUCUCUAGUACGGUACUGACGCUGAGACGCGAAAGCGUGGGGAGCGAACAGG
rnacentral:rRNA from 1 species